GCUUCCAUGGCGUAAUUGGUCAGCGCGUUCAACUGUUACACACGUGGUAACUGAGAGGUCCUAGGUUCGAUCCCAGGUGGAAGCU